AUCAGCGGGGAAAGAAGACCC
rnacentral:ncRNA from 2 species